GAUGAACGCUGGCGGCGUGCCUAAUACAUGCCAGUCGAGCGAACGGACGAGAAGCUUGCUUCUCUGAUGUUAGCGGCGGACGGGUGAGUAACACGUGGAUAACCUACCUAUAAGACUGGGAUAACUUCGGGAAACCGGAGCUAAUACCGGAUGAUAUUUUGAACCGCAUGGUUCAAAAGUGAAAGACGGUCUUGCUGUCACUUAUAGAUGGAUCCGCGCUGCAUUAGCUAGUUGGUAAGGUAACGGCUUACCAAGGCAACGAUGCAUAGCCGACCUGAGAGGGUGAUAGGCCACACUGGAACUGAGACGCGGUCCAGACUCCCACGGGGAGCAGCAGUAGGGAAUCUUCCGCAAUGGGCGAAAGCCUGACGGAGCAACGCCGCGUGAGUGAUGAAGGUCUUCGGAUCGUAAAACUCUGUUAUUAGGGAAGAACAUAUGUGUAAGUACCUGUGCACAUCUUGACGGUACCUAAUCAGAAAGCCACGGCUAACUACGUG
rnacentral:rRNA from 1 species